GAGUUGUGCUUGGCCCUAGUGUAUGGUUAAUCCCUUUGUACAUGGAUCCUGUUUUAUGUUUCUUGAUGAGAAAUGUGUGGAACCAAGGCUGACUUGUGAUAUGCUAACCCUAUGAGAGUGGGUCUAUAUUUUCAGACAUAGUGCAUGCAGGUCAAGCUUGGUAAGUGGAAGGAAAGUUUUUCAGUUUUUAUGUUUAUGUUUGAUCAUGUAUGGAAUUUUUCAGGCACACAGAGUUCAGGAUAGGCUUGCUACAGGUCCUG
rnacentral:lncRNA from 1 species